UACGUAGGGGGCGAGCGUUGUCCGGAUUUAUUGGGCGUAAAGAGCGUGUAGGCGGUUCGGUAAGUCUGUCGUGAAAUCCUGAGGCUCAACCUCGGGCGUGCGAUGGAUACUGCCGGGCUAGAGGAUGGUAGAGGCGAGUGGAAUUCCUGGUGUAGCGGUGGAAUGCGCAGAUAUCAGGAGGAACACCAAUAGCGAAGGCAGCUCGCUGGGACGGUAUUGACGCUGAGGCGACGAAGCGUGGGGAGCAA
rnacentral:rRNA from 1 species